rnacentral:rRNA from 1 species
UACGGAGGAUGCAAGCGUUGUCCGGAAUGAUUGGGCGUAAAGCGUCCGCAGGUGGCUGUGUAAGUCUGCUGUUAAAGAGUGAGGCUCAACCUCAUAAAAGCAGUGGAAACUACACAGCUAGAGUGCGUUCGGGGCAGAGGGAAUUCCUGGUGUAGCGGUGAAAUGCGUAGAGAUCAGGAAGAACACCGGUGGCGAAGGCGCUCUGCUAGGCCGCAACUGACACUGAGGGACGAAAGCUAGGGGAGCGAAUGGG